AGAGUUUGAUCAUGGCUCAGGACGAACGCUGGCGGCGCGCUUAACACAUGCAAGUCGUGCGAUACCUCGAGUGAGUCUUACGACGAGCUCAAGGUAGAGCGGCGGACGGGUGAGUAACACGUGAGUAGCUGUCCUAAGGAGGGGGAUAACGCCUGGAAACGGGUGCUAAAACCCCAUAUGCCUCGCAAGAGGUGAAAGUGUAUUACUACAGCCUUAGGGUGUGCUCGCGGCCUAUCAGCUAGUUGGUGAGGUAAUGGCUCACCAAGGCUAAGACGGGUAGCCGGCCUGAGAGGGUGUACGGCCACACUGGAAUUGAGAUACGGUCCAGACUCCUACGGGAGGCAGCAGUGGGGAAUCUUGGGCAAUGGGCGAAAGCCUGACCCAGCGACGCCGCGUUGGGGAUGAAGCCCUUCGGGGUGUAAACCCAUGUUGUAGGGGACGAAGAAAGUGACGGUACCCUACGAGGAAGCCCCGGCUAACUACGUGCCAGCAGCCGCGGUAAGACGUAGGGGGCGAGCGUUGUCCGGAAUUACUGGGCGUAAAGGGCACGCAGGCGGUGCGCCAAGUCGAGGGUGUAAAGUUACGGCUCAACCGUGACAUUGCAAUCGAUACUGGCGCGCUGGAGUGCGGGAGAGGGAAGUGGAAUUCCCGGUGUAGCGGUGAAAUGCGUAGAUAUCGGGAGGAACGCCAGUGGCGAAGGCGGCUUCCUGGCCCGCGACUGACGCUCAUGUGCGAAAGCCAGGGGAGCGAACCGGAUUAGAUACCCGGGUAGUCCUGGCCGUAAACGAUGGGUGCUAGGUGUAGGCGCGUCAAGCGUCUGUGCCGAAGUUAACGCGAUAAGCACCUCGCCUGGGGAGUACGGUCGCAAGGCUGAACUCAAAGGAAUUGACGGGGGCCCGCACAAGCGGNGGAGCACGUGGUUUAAUUCGAUGCAACCGAAGAACNUUACCUGGNUUGACAUGCAGNGGNACGAACCUGAAAGGGCGAGGACCAUAUCUUCGGAUAUGGAGCCUGC
rnacentral:rRNA from 1 species